rnacentral:rRNA from 1 species
UACGUAGGGUGCAAGCGUUGUCCGGAAUUAUUGGGCGUAAAGAGCUCGUAGGCGGUUUGUUGCGUCGGCUGUGAAAUCCCGAGGCUCAACCUCGGGUCUGCAGUCGAUACGAGCAAACUAGAGUGUUGCAGGGGAGACUGGAAUUCCUGAUGUAGCGGUGAAAUGCGCAGAUAUCAGGAGGAACACCGGUGGCGAAGGCGGGUCUCUGGGCCGAUACUGACGCUGAGGAGCGAAAGCGUGGGGAGCGAACAGG